rnacentral:lncRNA from 1 species
UUCGAUGUCCUGGCCUCGGCUCUCCCUCUGCCCACCCUCCGGAGAGCGCUCUCUCUCGUCCGCCCCCUGCCCACCCCGCCCUCUGGUGAGCCCCCUCUGUUCCUCCCUCCGUCCACCCCCAGCCUCCCGGAGAGAGGAAGAUUUUGCGCCGCCGCUGGCCAUCACGCUGAUCUCCAGACGAUGCCGGCGCUUCCCCCGAGCCGUCCGCCGGCGAGGUCUCGUCGCUCUGCUCGGAGGGCCGCGGCUGCGGCGGGUUCCAUCGCCGGCUAGCUGAUUCCGGCGAUCGGCCGGCAAGUGCCUCUCUCUCUCUCUGUCCCUCUUGCUCUCUCUCUCUCUCUCUCUCUCUCUCUCUCGCUCUCCCUCCUCUCCCUCCCUCCGUUCCUCUCUUACACACGCACACGCUCCAUCGAUUUUUGUUCUUUGAUGCGGGAAAGAGACGACACCUCAGGCCCUCCCGAGGUGUUCUUAAGUUGUGUUGUUCUUUUUCUCUAACGUGAUAUAUUCUCUACGAAGAGGAUGCUCUGGUGCUUAGGUGCUCAGCUGCUUUAGGAUCAAUCUUUUCAGUGGAGCGCGUUGUGAAGAUCUGAAUUGAUUGAUCCAACUGGCAUUUACUGCAUAAUGAUACCUGAGUUAAUUCGACUGAUUAAUUAAAUUACAAGUUCGAAUCUACGACGUGCUGACCGUUUAAUAUUUAUGCCUCUGGUGCCACAUUACAUUCGAAGAUCCCGUGAUUCCUACGCACCAGUGCAUCCCCUCGUACACAAUAUUUGUAUGGUUAGACUUCAUGGAGACUUAUGCCGACUCAUCCUUUUGCUUCCUAGAGUUUAGAAUAUGAAAACGGCGUACUAUUCUCCCCCUAAGGUACAAUCGUUCUCUCCAGCCUGAGUCCAUUGUUCUCUGCAUCUUAUUAUGUGUGAACCCUUACCCCAUACAUUCAAUUUCUUUCUUCUAUUUUAGUAAUGAUGAUUUUUUUCUCUUUGUCUUUUGAUUUUGUCUCUACUAGGGAAGAAGUUUCAACGGCCAGAAUUCAUGCUUCUUUUAUUUGUCACAUAACUUAUUUCUUUUUUUCUUAUCACACGUAUUUGGUGAGUCAAAAAUUAUAUAAAAUAUAACAUCGAUCAUAUAAUGAUAUCUGACUUGAAAGAGGAGAGGUAGGCAUUGUUUCUGGCUAUCUAAUUGGCCUUGCUAAUGGGGAUGGACAUCUUCUCUUGUGCUUCUCUCCAUAACUACUGUAGGUGGUGAUGGGCAACAAGGAUUAUUAGUUUAUACCAUGUACUGAUCAAGCUGCAUCUUGAGGACGGAAAGUUUAUCAAUCAUGAAGACUUGUAUGCUAUUCUUCUUGGAUUCUCUAUUUAAGCUCCAACACUCUUACAAUGCUUCAGCACUACUUUUGUCUUCAUAGGUGAUACAUUCAACUCUACCAUACCAAAGUCUUUUGUCCAUCGAUCUCUACCACAUGGUUGCAAGCUUGUUGGUUUACCCUUCUUGUUACAAUAAUUUACUACUUUUCAUUUUGUUGGCUGACUUCGUUGUUUUAUUCCUACUAAAUAUUUAGCAUCCUUAUGUGGAUAUCCUAUCCCUUGAGUUUUUCCUAGAUGUCCAUGACAAGGUGUUCUCCUUUGUGCUAGACAGAGGUGAGCAAAGUGGUGAUGAUGGUGGCUACAACAAAUGGAGUGUGUUCCCAACAAGAUGCCUAAUCAUUGGUAAUGAAAUUAUAAUUUUUAAUGAAAAGAAAAUUAUUGUUAAUCUAUUGAAUGAAUUGUGUUUAAAUCAUACAUGUGAAGUGAUUAAGUCUUCAUAAAUUUUUAAUUGUAACCAUCAAUAGUGAAGGCAUCAACACUUUCGACACUAGCUAGUUCUAUUUAAGGGGUAGUGCCAAACCUCUAAUAGCAACCUAGAGUAAGAAGGAAAUCAAGACAAGGAAUGCUAGUUGAAAAUAAUGUGGAAAGAGAACUCAAAAACUAGAGAAUAGAAUUGCUAUGUCAAGUUUGACCAUUUUAAUCACAACAUGAAUUACAUUGACUAGCAUAUAUUUCUUAGAUUGUUAAGAUUUUGAAAAGUAAUAACGCUAAUAAAUUAGCUGUGAGUUAGCAAUUCUAUGAUUCAAUGCAUGUCAACGGCAUCAUUUUCCCUGGUGAUAUAAUUUACAGCUUGCUCAUAUUAUCUUUUGCCCAAAAUAUAUGAUGGAUUUAAGUGAAACUAAUAUUGACGGAGUGACAAAUUAAGAUCAAUUGAUGAAAGUUUUAUUGGAGAACUUUUUUGCAUCUGAUCUAAGCAGGUAGAAAAACAUCAGUUUUGAUUGAAUGAAAAGAACAACAUGCAAAAAAAUUAGAGUAGCUAGCUUUUUGCAUUGGUGGGUUGUACCACUGAGGCUACAAAACUCCUCUCAGAUUUGAUUCAAUGCUGAAGCCAUUGAUUGAUUUGAAAGCUCCAUGAACUAGGGCUCAAACUCACGCUCUCAGCUCACAAAUUUUUUUGGCAUCCUCUACUUCAUGAUUAAUGUGGCCGAUUCAUAGUCAUGAGUAUAUUCUCAACUCCAAUUGAGGCCUUAUAAGUUUAUUGACUUUUAUCAUCUCUGGUGCUCUUUAAAUUUGCUAUCUAGGAAAAAACUUGGGGUAGUAUGGAAUGCCUUAGUUUGCACCCAAGGAGGCUGACCUCUCGUAAGAUAAUGGAACAUCAAAGGGGGAGGCUUAGGAGCUCGAUCAGCCCCAGAUUGGACAAAACCUUUGCAAAAUAGGCAAGUUCCAUGUAAAUUCUUCCCGUCGACAAAAAAAAAAAUUGUGUUUGCACUUUAACAUGUGAAAGGGGGAUAAUUCACCCUUGUCUUUCCUAUAGAAACGAUUGACUGGUUAGGACCUUGGAAGACAAGAAAGAGAUAAAAUUUCAAAGAAAAUAUUCCACAUGAACAUGCAAAUGGUUAAUGCAUAGAUAUGGUCUGAGAUUUUAUGCACAUAAAUAAGUGUCGCAUGAACAUACUUGGCAAUGAACAUUUUGAUCGAUAUGGUCUUCAAAACAUACUCUCGAUUGAUCAGAAAGAAAGCCCUUCACAGAAGAAGUUGAAGGCACUGACUAUAUUUUAAAUGGAGAUAUUUGUUUUGAAUGUGCAUUGUCGUGCUUUGCUCUGUGGUUUUAUAUACCAAAAUUUCGGAAUUGGGUUCCUUUCUCCAUCAAAUGCCGCCCAGCUGAAAGUGAGAGGAUUUACAGGCCCAGCUGUUGUAUUUUAUCUGUGGUGAUACAUAAACAUUGGAACACGAGGAGGGGUUGACCGAUUAUUCAGCAAGUCGAAAAUAAUAAAUCAAGGAACCACGAUUCUUCCGGCCGAUGAGCAUAGAAAAUUCCUCGACCGGAUGAGCAUAAAUCAAGGAACAAGCGGGUGAUGCACACACGUUCUACAACAAUCGAUCGGAUCACCUGGUCCCAGCCUUCUUGAAAAGUUCAGUCAGAAAAUUCCUCGACGUACGCUGGGGAGUCUGGUUGUUGCGGCUGUCCAUGUGGGCGGCGUGCACCGAAGCAGCCCCGGUGGAGCCUUCCGCCGGACGGCUUCCCUUGGCGUGGGAGGUGACGGGGAGGAUAGACGCCGCCGUGGAUGGCUGACCUCCGGGCGCGCUGCUGGCGCCGGACGACUCGCUGCUCUGUGGAGGAGAAGCCGGGUUUGAAAGCCACGGACCAAUCCGCUAAGCAAAAAACAGAAGAGAUUCCCGAGUCUUACCGCCAUGGUUUCUUUGUCUGAUCCCCUUCUCGCAAUCCGCCGGCGGCGGCGAAGAUCCUCCUCUCUCUCUCUCUCUCUCUCUCUCUCUCUCACUCUCUCACUCUCUCCUCUUCUCUCGUUGCCUUCUGGUCCUUAACAUCACAGUUCACGCGUCCCGUACGCGGGUAUGAAGAGUCAACACUUCUGCUGCUUCCUGGAACCUGCAAAGCAAUGAGUGGGAAUCUGCAACGAGAUCGAGCUCCGGGGAAGCCGCGUUGGCCAGCGGGGGGACAGCGAAUCCAUUGA